CUUGAUGUCUGUGGGUAGGAUCUUACAUGGUGAAUAUGGGAGUUUCUUCAGCAGACACUUUUCUGUCCACUUCCCUUAGUGCACUUACAACUUUUUGAACAACUUAGUCAGCCAGAGAGCUGCCACAUGCUUCCUCUGAGUUCAGUCUUCCUUCAGAGAUCUUGCAUGGUGUGAUGGGAGUCUAUAGCUCAGCUUCUUGUGCAGACAUUGUUGAGGUGAGAUACUUGGUCCACUGUAGUGACAGCAAAUCCGGAACAGAACAUAAGAAAAAGGCUAAAAAAAAAAAUAAUAGUCAGUGUCUUAUCAUUUCCCCCCUUGGGAAGUGGCAGAAGAGUGGCCAGGUAAAUAGAGUAUCAUCCCUGCAGGGUGACAUUAUCCUGCACAGAAUUCGUCCAUCACAAGGAGAGGUGGGAUAUUGCAUGGAAAGUCUCAGGUAACCAGGGCAACAUUCGACACCAGAGCCUUAACCUGUUAGGGAAUAGUAAGAGCUUGGACAGGCUUUGGGGCCUGUAUAAUUCAGGUAAAGGUAUUGGGGGAACUAGCUAGGACCCUUGCCUCUUGGUCAGGUUUCACUGUGUGGAACAAAAUAAAUAAUAAGGUGAUAGGGGCCUGCAAGUGGGGGAAGGACAUCUGCACCUAGCAGAUUAAUUGGACAGGUGAAGGUAUCCACAAAGCAAGGCUUAGUUAACAGGCUACUCCAAGGAGAGCCAUCUACACUUAUGCAGGAGACAACAAUGUUAGACAGGAAUGAGGAGUCAGGCAGGCCUUGCUUGGUACAAAUAGAUGUCAUGUGGCCUGCUAUACAAGGCUGCAUAUAGUUAUUGGGCAUGGGCCUUACUAUGUACUAAAACUUAAGUUAAAAGAAAAUUUGGGACAACCUGAAGUGAUGCUUCUCCACAGAUGCUAACUCAUCGUUGAUGACAUUGUUAAUACAG